GAAUAUUGGACAAUGGGCGGAAGCCUGAUCCAGCAACGCCGCGUGAGGGAUGACGGCCUUCGGGUUGUAAACCUCUUUCAGUACCGACGAAGCGCCGAUGAUGGUGGUGACGGUAGGUACAGAAGAAGCACCGGCCAACUACGUGCCAGCAGCCGCGGUAAUACGUAGGGUGCGAGCGUUGUCCGGAAUUAUUGGGCGUAAAGGGCUCGUAGGCGGUUUGUCGCGUCGGGAGUGAAAACACUGGGCUUAACUCAGUGCUUGCUUUCGAUACGGGCAGACUAGAGGCAUGCAGGGGAGAACGGAAUUCCUGGUGUAGCGGUGAAAUGCGCAGAUAUCAGGAGGAACACCGGUGGCGAAGGCGGUUCUCUGGGCAUGUCCUGACGCUGAGGAGCGAAAGUGUGGGGAGCGAACAG
rnacentral:rRNA from 1 species